rnacentral:lncRNA from 1 species
GCCUUUUUAUUUUUACUUGUCAUGAAUCCAUGGCAAGUUACAGGGCCUUUGUUUAAAGACAGCAUAUCAAGUUUUCUUCUGUAUUGGUACAUAGAAAGUUUAAUGACCCAAUCUAAAUUAGCGAAAUGCACCAUUAUAUGUUAAAGCUCCUCUAACAGCAGAAAAAAAGACACUUUCACUCAGUAAGUUGCAUCUUCAAGCUGCUGGUUGUGCUAUAAAACAUCUCUAGUUCCACAGAUAUUCACAACAUGGAGAUGAGAUUUUUAAUUCACAGCUUUCAUAAGAAACUGGCAGUAACAACAGCUGAAUAAGGGGGAUAAAAGUGCCCUAUACGUAAUACAAAUUAGGAGAAAUUAAAUUGACACAUACCAGGAAAAAAAUGAAAAGUAUAGCAAUGCAGAGCUAUGUUUCAUUUUCAAAUAACAGAAAAUAUUAGUAACUGGAGAGCUUUAUCCCUCAUUAGUACUGAUUUUCUUUCAGAAACAGACCAAAUAAGCAAGAGAAGGGGACCAAGAGAUAUCUGCCCAACCUGAUCUCCACACAGCUUUGAUCUGAUGCCUUACAGGGAUCUUAGUGGAAAGGAAGGGACCAGAGGUGGAUGGCUGCAAACUGCUUUCAGCAAGAGGAAUGACAAAUACUAUGUCUUAAGCACAUUUAAGAAGAAUUUAGGAAUACAUAUGAUUGUUGAAAGGUAGAGGUUAGGAGAGGAGCUUGAAUUCAGUUAUGGAAAAAGACAUAAAAUGGAGUAGAGCUACAAAAGGAUGAGGUGGAGUGAAUUUAAAAUCAACCAAACUGGGCUGAGAAGAAAUCUGAACAUAAACAGCCCAGUUUCCACCUGACUGGGAUGUUGGGAAGGUAAAACAAACUUGAUUAGAAAGUGCAAUCCCACCAACUUUCUUGGAGAAAAGGAAGUUCAAGUCUGGUGGCCAAUGUCAACAUGGGUCCACAUCAUCUGAGAAUUGUGCUGAGCAAAUCCACAGGUGGCUCAAGUGCAUGUGGGCUUGGGCAGUUUUGCCCAUAAAAUUAACAGAAGUUCAAGGCUGCUCCACGGUCUUGUGACAGAUGUCCAGCUAGGUCUAGGUAGGCUUGUCCAGUAGCAGGUGGUACGGAUUGGCAUUUCAGACUGUCCCAUCUGUCCCCCUCCGACCUGUUAUGUGCUUGGGCAUCUCCAUAUAUUUUUCAUCUUCUGAGUGCAGACACAGGUGGAUACCUCCACCCAUUUUUGUAGUUAAGCAGUCUCUAAAGGUCUAGAGGGUAUCUAGAAGUUCUUAGUGUUGUUUAAUACCAAAAUACCAAACUGUUGGACUUUGACACACAGGAAGGUGCUGAGACAUUAGGCCCAGUAAUUUACUUUUUCCAUGAACAUGAUCUCACCUUGCAGUCAGAACUCAUAAUGCCUGCAUGCUGUUUUACAGUGCUAUAAUGGGAUAGUGAUACUGUAGGCAUGCAUUUAUUUUGUCAUUGUGAACCAUUUGCAUAAUAUCACCUAUAGAAAUAUUUUUCCAAUUAUAUGAUCCUAUGUUAACACAUUGUGAUUUUAAUGCUGCUUUCACAAUACAGAGGAGAAAAUGAAAGAACCAAAGACUACUCCCACUGAGAAGUCAGAGCACGAAGCAGUCAGACAUGAAAAAGAUGUCCCCCUUACAAAACCAGUCAAACCAAAAAACACUGCAAGUACCCACAAAAAAACCAAAGACAACUAAGGAAAAAGAAGAAAAAACAACUGCGAAGAAACAGCUGAAAGAUGAAAAAACUAAAGUGAAAGAAGAUCCACGACAUCAAAACCUGACAUCAGCUCCUGUACGCUACUUUCAAUGUGUCUUCCUAAAUGGACCUAAUGGAUUUGGGCUGCAAUUUCCUAUUAAUCCCCCUUCAAACAAGGAAGAAAAGACUCACUCAAAGACUUCCAAGAGAAAGACAAGGAAACCGGGGCAGUAGAGAGACUGAGUCCUGUGAUCACUGACAUUUUGCACUUUAUCUUUUCUGCUGAGGUCCAUAAUAGCUACAGUGGUACUUGUCAUUGCAAGAACGUGAUCCACUUGCACGCAUGUACCUGGAAAUAUUUCCAUGGAGCAGCGGCAGAACAAGCAGUAAUGAAUGGUGUUUAACAAAGAUAGAAAUGUAAAAGUGCCCAGUUUCUCAUGGAAAGGCUGCAAUGCUAACAAGGCAUUGAUAUGACUGUGUGUGUGAGCAUGUGCGUGUGUUUUCAUGCCUCUUUCGUUCUUGUUUUUCUUUACCUACAUGCUCAGCAUUGAAGUGAGUCUGUUUUCCAUUUAAUCUUAUCUAAGGAGUGAAAGGUUGAAUGUAGCUCUUAUAUCAGCAAGAUUGCAAGACUAGCUGCAAUCCUAAACCAUUUCUUCUUAAUGUUCAAUCAAAUUGCUGACAGGAAAAUGCCUCACUAAGUCAUGAAAAUGUGCUCUGUGACUGGUGCUAUUUUUAUGUCUCAUUGACCAGUGUAGCCUGAAGCUCACACUUGCUUGGAGCAGCUCAAUACGUGAUCAGUAGGUUGACUCCGCAAGUGAUGUUAAUGAAUAUUUCUAUUUAACCUGAAACUGUAAAUGGACUGUUUGCCCUGCCUGUUGGUGAAAUACAAGCUCUUCUCUUUCUGAGGCCCUAAGUGAGAAGAGAAAGUGAAACCACUUGGCAAAGAUUGGGAAAACCACUGUUUUACUGACAUGAAAGUCUGAAGAAACAAAUGAAGUAACUACAGUGCUUCCACUUUUCUUUUUUGGCUCAAUCAGAUUGUUUUGUAGCAAAAGCCAUGUAAAUGGACAACAUACCAGCCAACAAUUUGCUAUUAGCUUAAGCCAGAUGAAAAGCUAGGAUGUGAGAUGCCAUUUGCGAAGCUAAAGCAACCAAAUUUGCAGUAAUUAUGUGAAUUUGAUGCUAUCUCAAAUCAGUGAACACAAACAAAAACCAAAACCAAACCCAAACAAAAAAAGAAUCAGAAAAAAAUUAGACAUAAACACAUGAAAUAAUCCAGGUUUCUCAUUUUACUAGAUGAAAUGAAAGAACUUCCUCACAGCACACUACUGUAAAUGGCUUACAGUAAAACUGACAGUAGAUGUGCUUGUCCUCAACAAAGAAGUUUUUGCCCUAAAAAAAAGACAAGAUGGCAUUUGAUCUCUUUAAAGGCACAUGAAUGAAAAUUGGCAUCUCACCAGUAUAUGUCUGGCAAUGUAAAUAAUGCAUUUUUUCAAGCUGCUAUUUGUUUGCAUUUCCUUACUAUACUUUUUGCAUUUAAUCUGGGAAAUAUACAGCAGUGACCUUAGUUAUGUCACUGCCUGCUGAAGCAACAUGAUCCUCUUUGUGCAAACCUACUACUUGUAGAGUCUGAACAUGCCAAGAACUUUGGCAUGUAUAUCACUUUUUUAUUUUUAGUAUAGACCAAGAUAGCAUUGGCCUUGUCCCUCUUAUUACACUCUCCCUGCCCAUCCAUCUUACUUUAAUCAAAUAAUUGACUCAUUUGAGUUUUGGACAACUGAUUCUUUGACAGAAUACUGCAAUUCAGAAAGCUUUGCUGUUACACUGCUAGGUCCAGUUGGUAUUUUCUGAUUACUGGUCAUGGCCUUCCAUGAACUGGAUCCUUAGUCUUAAUGUGCUCUGAUAUUGCACAGGUCAUGUGCUGCAAAACCUGUCAUUGCAACAAGCAGUUUAGGCAGUGGUGACCAGAAGGAGGUAGGAACAGGUCCUGCUCUAGAAGUAGCUAUUCCGAUGUAGAAUCACACCAUAGCUAUGAGUGUUCAUGGUGAAGGUCCCCACAGACCCCUGUGAGAUCUGCUCUGAAGCUAGUGCUGCCAGCAGGGAAUUUUUUGACGGCAGGAUUAUGAUCUUCAAUUUUCUUUUGGUGUCUCUUUUUAUAUUUCCACCAACUUUUUCCUUCCCAAUUUGUGAUUUUGUAUAUAUUAUAAUGGAUGUUAUUGCCCUAGGUUUUUACUGUGAAAGCUGUCUUAAAAAUGAGAUUUUAACUUUCUGAAAAAUCUGUUAAUUCAAGAUUUUAUCUAAUGCAAAUAGUCAGGGCAAAAAAUUAUAUACAACAAGCCUUUAUUUUUCAUAUUCUUUUGGAUUUUUUUUUCAUUAUAGUUAGCCUUAAUCCUUCCUUCCUGUCUGAGAUGGGAGAUAGCAAGAAUUUGUUCUGGAUCUCAUUUCCAUAAUGUUUCAAUUAGGUAUGUCUGAAUUUUAGAUAUCUGAAAGCUUUGGAAAAUAAAUAUAAUUACAUAAGUGAUGUAAAAUCGGUCUUUUAAUUUUGUUUCCUAAUCUAAGUCACUACCUGGAAAAACAGAAAAAGCAGGUCCACUCACAGAGAGGCAAGCAUUUUUCUCUUUAAAUUCACCGGAUAACUUAAAAAAAUUUCCUGGUUUGCAUGGUUUUACUCAAACUAGCCUGAAAUAUUGCACAAACUUUUGCUGAUUGUUAUACAUUUUGGAAAAUAAAAAAUAU